rnacentral:rRNA from 1 species
GUCCACGCCCUAAACGAUGAGAGCUAAACGUCGGGUUUUCGGAUUCGGUGUUGGAGCUAACGCAUUAAGCUCUCCGCCUGGGGAGUACGGUCGCAAGAUUAAAACUCAAAGGAAUUGACGGGGGCCCGCACAAGUGGUGGAGCAUGUGGUUUAAUUCGAAGCAACGCGCAGAACCUUACCAACCCUUGACAUAGGUGUCGCGGAUGAUAGAGAUAUCGUCUUUCAGUUUGGCUGGACACAUUACAGGUGCUGCAUGGCU